rnacentral:rRNA from 1 species
CAGCACCUCAAGUGGUCAGGAUGAUUAUUUGGCCUAAAGCGUCCGUAGCCGGCCGUGUAAGUCUCCCGUUAAAUCCAGCGUCUCAAGCGUUGGACUGCGGGAGAUACUGUACGGCUAGAGAGUGGGGGAGGUCAGCGGUAUUCUGGGGGUAGGGGCGAAAUCCUUUGAUCCCCGGAGGACCACCAGUGGCGAAGGCUGCUGACUAGAACACGUCUGACGGUCAGGGACGAAAGCUGGGGUAGCGAACCGGAUUAGAUACCCGAGUAGUCC